UUUAUGCAUUAAGAGCAGGAUUAAUUUCCUCUCCAACCUGCCAACUCCGGUAAGGUGGAAAAAAUGAUGCGGUUAACCAACAACUAUAGGAGCUAAA
rnacentral:ncRNA from 10 species